UACUUUCUUCCGAACCCCUUUUUUCAUGACCAUAAAUCAAAAUGAGUAGGUUUGUAAGCUUAUGUUUCAUGGUGAAGUAACAAAGUGUAAGUAAAAGUACGUAGUCAUUUCAUAAAGGCUCGACCAUGUUGGGCCUAUUUCGUAGAAUCACUAGGUCGGAGGUAUUCGCAUUGUGACGUUGGCCGCAUCACAACUAGACUAUAUAUUCAGUCAGCAAACCUCCCCUUCUUAACACUGCGUCGAUGCGAUUUCGUCGUCUAUCUUAUGCGGUCCGGUCGUUGUGAUUUUAUUUAAAUUUUCCGAAUCGCUUAUUGGGCUUCUUUUAUUUGAGAAGUGCGUAAUGAUAGCGUUAACUGUAGUAUAACAGGUUUAAUAGCAGCAGUGUAGUGUGAAAAUAGUUGAAGUUGACCAGAUAAUGUAGGUAUGCUACUGUAGCUAACGUCAUUCGACGCCUAGAUGUGUUAUAUAUAGCUUUCUAGCGACAGAUUGUACAUCAUUUUGUAUUCAACUAAAAACAAACAAGGUGACGUUAAGUCAUAGCAACUCGCUAGCUAAGGACAUUUUUGAAUUCUGACGUGUCAGUUGACAAAAGUCAAGAUGAUAGUCACAAGAACGAGAUUAACGUUAGGUGGCAGGGUCUUAUUUUUAGCAGCGGCGCUUACGUCAUUUACCUCAGAAGUAUGCUUAUUUCAACUGAAUUGGCAUCUCGGUAUUAAUUAUAAGCCAAGUAACGUAGCGAAACAAUUUAUUUUAAAGAGUUUGCCAAACAAAAGAUGCGUCUUGUGGCGCACUUGUAGGCCCGACUCAAAAUGGCGAUUAGGGAGAAAUGGAUGUCCUGGGGAUUCAGCGCUGAGAACAGCUGGUGCAGUUAUCUGAAUUCCAAGCUACUGUUAUUUCGAAGAUCAGAAAAUCAGGUUGUAUAAGACGCGUUAUCAAAAGAACCAAGUUACAAUUCAAUGAACGUAUGAAAGAUGGAACGACGUUCCAUUUAUCCGAAGCAGUAUAGUUACUUCAAUGCGUUUAUUUUUUCCGUUUUCCUAAAAUGAACAAUGCGUUACAAGAAAAUAACCAUAUGAAGCCUUGUGAAUACGAAGCUAAUAUGCAAGUUACUAAGAUAAUCUUGUGAAGAAUUGUGACGUCAUAAGAAUAGCCAGCUAAAUGUUUGAAUAGUAGAUGUUGGGCAGCGGUCUCAGGCAGUUUAGCUAACUUCAAGUGGUGUCGCAAGUUGCUCACAUAUCAUGAAGUACAUUUUAUACCGAAUAAGAUUCAGCAAUAGAAGUUGGGUGAAUAUCAGAUGCAUUUAAGCGGUUUUAUUUUAAGCCUAAAAUGACGAACAAGUGGAGCUGCUGAUAGUUGCUUACAUAUGGACAAUCGUUAAAAAAAAGUUAAUGAAGGAAGCAAGUUUCAAGACUAAUACCUUGUGGAAAGCUAUGAUGCCUUUUGAGAAUAGCCAACAACAAAUUGAAGAAUGAAAGUUGGGUGUGGCCCAUUUAUCAGACGUGUUUUACUAACUUCAAGACGUUUUUGUUGUUUUUACUUGACCUGAAGAACAAGUUCUGAUUGUUGUCUACUUGUCAGGGGGAAAAAUCUGUAUAGGUAACCUGAAAGAAAAAAGCUACUAAACUUAACGAUAUGAAACGUGAAUCCUUAUUCAUUUGAAUAGCAAGCAAAGUAUUGGAAGAGAAUUUGGCCUGACGGUGCCUGUAUCAGUCAUUUGAGCUACUUCAAGAAUUAAAUCUUUUAAACAAAAUGAUGAAAAGAUGUGCUGCUGAUUAAGUAUCCAAGUGAAGUGGUCGCAUUAAGAGAACGUGCUGUAAUUCAAGGAAUCACAGGAAAAGCGUUUGGUAAUGGUGUGGUAAAGCGUUUAUUUUCCUGGUCACAACCCUUUCCUGUGUGCCUGCGUGUCUGCUGUGAUGAGUCCCCCUUGGCCUUCUUGGUAGAGUGGGCUGGUGAGAGGAGGACCGUCUUAAAAGGAUUUCAGCCUCCUGCAGCACAGAUGUAGUGCCCCCGGGGCGGAGUUUCUCCUGUCAUUGAGUUCAAUAGGUCUGCGCCCCAAGAUGUGGUCUACAUGGGAGUGUGUUGAGUGGGAGGUCUUCUGUACGUCCGUACCACAACGCCCCUUUGGUGCUGAGCAGCUACAUCUGCUGGUUAAAGUGAGCAGUGAGUUUAAAUGCAUGAUAUGAUCACGUGCGGAGUAACUAUUCCCCUAGCUAAAUAUUGAAAUCAAAUUUACAUUUGCCUUCGUAUUGGUAACUAGGGGAUUAUCCCUGAAUUUGUGUUUAGUCUGGUGUUAUUGGUCGAACUGUAGUGCCUUUGUGGAUGGGGGGGGACGUUUUCCGAGUUCUUCUUUUCACAGGCUCGGCCCUUAAAGCAAAGCUGACCAUCCAAGGGAGUCCCUCUUUAGUACUACCUACCACGUUAAUCAAAAAGAGUUGGACGUCAUGUAAACGAUAGUUCUAAGGAUGGAUCAAGUGACACCUCUGGCGUUAAAGUGAUGUAGGAAGGUAUUUUGUGCUGGUUUUCUGUAGUGAGUUGAUCACAUUUGAAUAUGUACUACCAUACUUAUGUUAAGUGUUUUUCUUCCAAUGCAUUUUAACUGGGCAGACAUCAUUUGGGUCUUGGGAGGGUUGUGGGGGGUGUUAAUCCAAAUUUCUUCCAAGAAUUCUUUCACACAGCUUCGUGUAAAGCAGCAUUUAAAGAUCCAAAUGGCUAGCAUUGAGGUUUGGGGAGCAAGGAAUCAACCGGGUGGUCCACAUCUUUCGGUGUCCGUUUUGCCUUGUGGUGUAGAGAUUCCUCGGUGUCUACAAGGGUCUAGCAAGUGGCGGGCCACGUUUUGGGAAGUCGACUCGUAUUCUCCCAGGGAGUGUGGUAAUGGUCACCUUUAGAUUGACACAUUCUAUGUCAUGGAGUAUGAAGUUGCAUUUGGGGGUUUCUGGGGUCAGGGGACUGCUUAAUUGUGACUUUUCCAGAUUAUUAUGUGACCCAACCGUUCAAUGAAAGAACAACUAGAGGUCCACGUCUACCCCCGUGUGUCUUAAGGAGAAACGGUGACGCAGAGGCCAGUGCUAUUUUAAAGUUUUUUCUGUGGAAAGUUAAUGAUUUGGUAUUUCUCCAAAUUCGGAUAUUUUCAUUGUAUAUUAGCAACUGUAAAUACAAUUUGAUACUGUAAUUGUCAUGGUUGGUUACUGUUUGGGUAUGUGUGGGGGGGAAUGGUGGAAGGCUUGUUUUCCCUUCUGCAUUUUUCAGUGUGCUGUGUCCUGCGUUUUCAAUACUCAAGACCAACAGGAACACCCCUAACUCAUUGUAUGUAAAGGUUUUCUAUCACUUCAAAAUGCCUCGCAAGGUCUCAAGUAAGGUCACUUACAAAUGUGUUAACAUUUCCCUUUUUAAUAUUUCAUUAGUUUAACAUUUGGCAACGCAUAAAUUGCACUCUCUUUGCAAAUUAGUUAAUGUUUUGUAUUGAUGCAACAGAGCUAUCUGUAAAGGAUUCAUAAUUGGUAAUAAAUGCAUAGCUUAUUGUGAUUGAAGACAUUUUUGUUAUGCAUUUGUUCUUUGGGGGAAUCUUGUCUGGGGGGCUUUUCUUGUGCUUUUUCAGGUAUGUCUUAGCUUGGUGCUUUUAGAGCAUGGAAGUGACCUGGGCUUGAUGGCAGCUCUUACAUGGUGGAAAGUGAAGGUUUCAGAUAAGUUCAAUCCAGCUCAUAUCCGUGUCUGAAUAUGGGGGAAAAUCAAGAUAUGGAACAUGGCUGUCUGAAUGGUCCUUAUUGUGGCCUCAGUUGAUUAUUCUUGAAUAGAGAAGCAUCUACCUAGCAAUGCAACGUCUCAGCACUACUUGUGAUAUGUAGAAGUUGCACUGCUGUGCUUUCCCUAUGGGUGCAAAUCUCUUCUGUUCCAACAGGAAGAUUUGGUGGAAACCCUUUGCUUUAUAGUUGACAUAAAAUUUACUUUGGCUAUGUGGGUAACAUGUGGGUUCUGGUGAGGGUGGGUAUAGGGGUGUUGUCUGCUUUUGAUCUUGCAGAAUUGCAAAAGCCCUACCGGAGAAUGCCAUCUACCAGUGACGUGACCACAGGAAUCGCACCGUCCUUUGACCUCGUCUCAACACAGGCAGGACAGUUUGAGCACGUUUGUUACAUUCAAGGCCAUUUCUAGCUUUACCUAUUAGAUCUCCUCAGCUACCAGCUCUUGUGCAACUGUUCAAGGACAGUCAGUUGUAUCAUAGUAGCUUUUGAACUGUAAAGCAUUUGGUUUAAUUAUUUUGCAGCAGUCGCGCAACUGUGUGACAGCUUUCCCAAAUGAAGGUAGCUGAGGAACACUGCGCAACUGUGCAGCUGUAAUUUGAACUGAGUGCAGCGCAAAUGUGUUGCUUUUGGAUUGGUAUUUGUUGGGCUUGGGAGGGGAAUUGUGCACUUUUUCUCUACAGAAAUCAGUGAGCCUGGCGCAAGCACGUAUGAUGUCUUCUAACCUGGAACAUGUAGGAAGAUGUUUACCUCUUUCACUAUUCAUUUAAUAAGACCCCUGUCAUGUUUUAGUUUGACUCAAUGGACAUCUUGAACUGGAUUUCUGUUAACCAUAGUCAAGCAAUGCUUUUAGCUGCAUAUACCUCACCCCCUUUGGCCCAGAGCCCUACAGCUUUGCAUCUUUAACUAAGUUAAGAAACGUCAUGUAGGUGUUGUGAGUACUGUGGUGGGAGAAUGUUUGUGUCGACACCUCUUCGUUUCAGAUCAUUCUCUCGUUUCACUGUCCGCUACGAUUGCGCCUCCUGCAUCUGAAUGUAUCAGCCGCCGGGAACUGUCAGCAAAUGAGUGUGCCCCCUGAAUGAAGUACCUACCAUCUCUCCCUCUAUUGGCUUGAGCUUAAAGUCAGCCCCGCCCGAUGUUCUUCACCGUCUCCUCUCCCUCUGUGCUGUUUGUUCCUUUCCUUUACCCCUUUUGGUUUCUCAGGUGACUAUUUCUCAAUCUGAAGUAAAAUGGUCUUGAAUUGGCAUCUGUGAUCCGCCCCGUAACUGCGUAAUGGAACACUGAGAACCCAGUCACUUUCAGAUGAAGAGCCACAAGCUUGUCUUGCUGCUAAUUGAGCAUCUCUUCAGUUUCUUGUUUACUAAGUUAAGUCAUUUUGGUUCCCAUUUGACUUUGAACACACUACGGCUGUGUAAUUCAACCCUUUGUCUGCAUGCACAACAGCUCUACAUAACAUUAAGAUUUUUUUUAAAUGCAUAACCUAAAUGUUCCAUGUAGCUAUUGCGUAAAAUGGGCACAUUCCAGUAGUUUGGGUGGACGCAGGGAGGGUGGGGGGCAACAUUUCUUUCUUUCUUCCUUUCAGAUAUCUCUUGAGUCAACUUCUGUUUCUACGGCGCACUGGGACAGCUCACAGCUGCAGAGUCACAGGAAGUUGGUCUGUCUUGGUUUGAUCCAGUUCUGGGAAGUUGAGUGUCAGUGUGGAGAAACUGUCUGGGUGCGGUUUGUACCGUUUCGGUCAGUCACAGUAAAUGUCCAAAGAUGUCAAUUUCAGAGAAUAUCAGGUUUUGCGGGGGGGGGGUGGUAAUUGUCUCUUACAGAGUCAAAUUUAAGCGGUUGAUCCUCGCUAGUUUGACUAACCUCUGAAUCUGGACCAGUGUCAGUAAUCUAGUUUCAUGUAUCAUGGCUGAAACUUAGUAAUGUUGUGGAAUAUUUCUUAUGGCAUUUAGUGCACCAAUGUAGUGACUUUGGGGGGGGCGACCUUUAAUUUUCCUCUAGUUUCAGGCACGCGACGAAGCUAAAGUCCUCUGGUUCGUGUAGAGCAGCAGGUAGUAAGGGUUUUUCUUUUCCUGGGAGAACAAACCAUUUGGUUUUUGUUCUUCCAGGUUUUGCUUUUUGUCCUUACACAACAAAAAAAGCAAAAGACUCCGGUGGUGGCACUCCUGAUUCCUCAGGAUGGGGUUCAAUUCCCUGCGAAGUCUUUGCUUUUUUCAACCUGCUGCUGAGCCAGGGAAUAGUUAAACAGGGGAACCUAGGUACUUUAAGUUUUACUGCGAUUAUAAAUUAAAGUAUUGAAUAAUCUGUCGUUUAUAGAUGGGUUAGCUGACAACGUCAAUGUGGCUAAAGUUGUGAUUCUGGAUGGCCAAGUGCUACUAACAAUGACAAUCUGCCAUGUCUGACUCAUAAGUGACUUGUUUCUUCUUGAUACCACAUCUUGUUUUGACUGAUGUAAUGUCAAUGCUAGUAUGACAAAUUUGCAUGCUAACCCACUAACAAUGUAUUUAAGACUAGUGCAAAUGUAAUUGUUUUCAAUUAACAUUGGAGACUAAAUAUAUUCGACAUGUCAACAAUCUAAGCCAACCUAGUCUGGUUUGCCCCGUAGUUGCGCAUGGGUUAGUUACAUUGCUGAAAAAUCAACCUGUCUUGAGGCUGUUAACCCAUUAAAUCCCGACUUGUUCCCAGACAUGAAAAUAUCCAUAUCUUGUGUCAUUAGUAAGCCUUUGAAAUAAUCAAUCAUACUUUGUUUUCAUGGAAAAGUAGGUAAAAAUUGUGUUAUGGUUGGUCACAAUUGUGACGUGGGAUAAUGUAAUGUAUACUGAAUUAACAUAUGCAGUCAUGAAAAUGCAUAUAUCCCAGCCCAGUUAUUAACGCAUGUAAAACUCACUGGCAGUCCCCAGCAUUGCUACUAGAAUGCCCCAUCACAUUCUAGUGGGACUAUUUUAACAUAUCGAAAACCUUUAUACAACACCGAUAUGAAUACUGAGAGCAAAAACAAAUCAACGUAUUUCAACAUUGUUACUUUAGUGCAACAUGUAUUGUAACAUUUGAACUUGUGCAACAUUCAUUUUAACAUUGUCAUUGACGUUUUAGUGCAACAUUCACUAACUUUAUAGCAGUUGUGAUUCAUUCACAUUGAACAAAGGUAACAUUUAGGCUAGGUAGCCUGUAGAACAUGCAUUCAAGUAGAGGCCUACACUGAACAAAAUAAUAUAAAUAUAUAUUUUUGGAUUACAGUAUGACAGAUCGUAGUUCAAAAUAGUAAUGCACAAACUAAUCGUGCACUUGGUUCUGAAGCCUACCUCUAUUUAUAUACACUAUUUUGAACUACGAUCAGUCAGAUACUGUAAUACAGUAUGUCUUGACUCAAUUGAUCCUCUGUUCCAAAAACAUUUCAGUCAUUUGUCUUUUUCCAUUUCUUGACUUUUCUUCCUAAAGUCCAUUGUACUGCUUCUCCUCACACUUGAUUGACUUAUUUGCUUUUUCAGCCCUUUUCAUUCUCUCUUCUCGUCUCUUUUUCUGUCCAUGGGGCGGCAGCGUAGCCUAGUGGUUAGAGCGUUGGACUUGUAACAAAGGUUGCAAGAUCGAAUCCCUGAGCUGAGAAGGUAUAAAUCUGUCUUUCUGCCCCUGAACAAGGCAGUUAACCCACUGUUCCUAGGCAGUCAUUGAAAAUAAGAAUUUGUACUUAACUGACUUGCCUAGUUAAAUAAAGGUAAAAUAAAUUUUUCUUUAAAACAUCUUGAAGCACUCAAUGUGGAUAGGUAGUGUGUUUGUCACGACGACGUCUAUGGAACCGGUGCAUCGUGUUGAUUGGCCAGUGAGAGGCUUGUUAUAUCUUGACUGAUCUUCAAUAGUAGCCAGUAGCUCUCCUGUGGUUUCGUGCCAAACUUUUGCAUAAUAGGCUGCCACUAUCCAUGAGAAGCGGAGCAGGAGCAAGAUAUGACAAAGCUCACUGGCCAAUCAACACGACACAUCUCUGUAAAAUGUUUUUUUUUUUUUUUUUAGGCCAGUAGAGCCCUGAGCAGCAAGCCAUUGGCGAGUUGGAUACUACCAAUACAUGUCCUGAGUGCAUAAGGAGAUUACUGUGACUCAGUGGUCACGUUGAAUUUUACUAUGGUCAUGACUGCGGGUGUGGCGGUAGGACGGUCACCGCAACAGCCCUAUGGUCAACCAUCCUCCAGGAGAGCUAAUGGUUGUGCAGGCUUUUAUACCAGUCCCUCUAACAAACCAUAUUAGAGAAAUUAGCUGCUCAACUGGACCUUGAUAAACUGCCUCUCUUUGAGCAGGGCUUAAUCAGAAGGGCUUGCACACCCAGUAUCUCUCCAGACUGAGGGUUGACCAUGUGUUUUAAUACAGUUGUCUAACAGGUAUUGUACUUUGUGGGUGGUUAAGUGCCUUGCAUAAUGGCAGGAGAUGGUACAUGGGAUCAGAGAGCAGCCUCCCAUUGUCAAUAUGACAUUACUCUUACUUUUUUUGUACGUACAUAGCGACUUAGAAUGUGGGUAAAAGUCAUGAAAGUCCAUCUGUCAAAAUGUGUUUAGUAUGCACCCCUCAUGACAGAGUUAAUAUCAAUCAGCUUUAUUAAACAUUGUGUUCCAAUAUGCAGAGAUCGAUGUUUUGACAUUUUACAUAUCUUCAAUAAAUUGUCCAACUGUCUGUUUCCAUGUAUACAAUUGUCUCAAUUACACAACCAACUAUGCCUGAAUGUCAGGAGAAACUGGAAUUUGACUGGAUUUUUUUGGGGGGUUUAGUCUAUUGGUUGGGUGUGAGUAUCAUGACUUGCAGUUUGAGACAUGAGAGAACUGUUGGAAAUGGUGUCGUUACUGUAUGAACAUAAAAUCAAUUAACAGUAAAAAAAAAAAUGGCAUACUAUCAUUACAAUUAAAACUUGUGUUCAAUCUUGACCUUUCAAUUUCUCUGGCUUUAUUUGGGUUACACAUGUCUCAAUGCGCUUUUUUUAAAUGAAAGAAAUAAGCCAAUUUUAGCGGCCAGAUUUUUUUAAUGAAUCAUGAAAUGUUUAUUUUAUUAGUGAGUACAGUAAGCCUAUAUGACCAAGGAAUUCAGGGGGGAGGGUUGUCCCUAUAAGGCCUGUUAUUGAUCAGCACAGUACCAGAGGCAAUGGUGCAUGUCAGGAGUACACCUGCACAGAACAGUCUCACAUACUGCUUCUCUAAUUUAUUACUAAAUAAACAAACAGGUCCCGUGUGGCUCAAUUGGUCGAGUUUGGCACCUUCAACGCCAGGUUUGUUGGUUCAAUUUCCACCGGGGAUCAGUACGAAAUGAAAGUGUGCACUUAAAAAAAAUAUAUAUUUCACCUUUAUUUAACCAGGUAGGCCAGUUGAGAACAAGUUCUCAUUUACAACUGCGACCUGGCUAAGAUAAAGCAAAGCAGUGCGACACAAACAACAACACGAGUUACACA
rnacentral:lncRNA from 1 species